rnacentral:misc_RNA from 1 species
UGUUGUAGGUGGCUGGCUCCGG